rnacentral:misc_RNA from 1 species
UUUCCGUAGGUGAACCUGCGGAAGGAUCAUUAAUGAGUUGUCAUGGGGUUCGAUGCUGGCAGCCAGUUUUUGGAUGCAUGUGCUUGCCCUAACAAUCAUCUUCUUCCAAACACCUGUGCACAUUUUUGAGGGAGUCUUGAGUUGGUUGCCGCUCUUGGGUGAUUUUCUCACAUUCCCUUAAAUCAUUAUACGCUAUUAACAAUGUUGAACGUGCUCUGUGCCGCAAGGCCAUUAAUAUAAUACAACUUUUAACAACGGAUCUCUUGGUUCUGGCAUCGAUGAGGAACGCAGC